CGUGAACACAUGUUUGUAGUGGCGCUGUUGACGGACCGGGGACUGAUAUUUUCUCCAAUUUAUUGAGACUGAGGGUUGAUAUAGUUCCGUUGUGGUGUCUGUGACUUCAUGGUGUGAAAGGGCUUGGCAGGACCGAGUGGUGAGCUGCUGGCAGGAACAGCAAGCCUCAGAACGGUUGAAGGGGAAGGAGACAAAAAUAUACGAGGAUAUUAAUAAUUCAGGAGGUGGCUGAGACGAGACGCAGGCCGCAGGUGUUUUGACUGGUGUGCCGCAGCGCAGGUGACACUCCCACUUGUCUUUGGAGGUGAAAUUCUGGAAGGCGGAAGAAAAAUGGAAACAGCGAAUCUCCAAAGACUGAGUUAAUAGGACGACUGUGGCUACACAAGACAGACAGCGGCGCAACGGUGCUACCCACCCUCCCACUCCCAG